AAUAGCCAAGUCGAUUGAGCCAUGUCUGUCUGUCCGUCCCUAUGAUCGCCUAGUGGUCAGAUACUGUAAGAGCUAGAGCACUCCUUUUAGAUCUCACUGUUACAUGUGACCCCCUUCCGACCUCACAAAUAACAAAAAACUGUGGCAUCCACAAUUUUGAAGAUACGGAAAAAUUAAAAAUGCACAAUCAUGGAGAAUGACCAUAUGUACCAGAUUGCCGAAGUUUGAUCAGAUCGGAUUAUUAUUAUAGCCAAAGUAAAAAAUCAAUUUUCGGUCGCUACGCAGUGCGGACGACACGUUCAGACUGAUUUUCUGUCUCUCUCGCACACUUUUUCUCGCCAAUGUACGCGUCGUCUGCCGGGGGAGGGGAGAGACAUACUGACUAAGUAUCGGGUAUAAUAGUAGAGUUGCGGUCGCAGCAGAAACUCACAACGUUCCCCCUCGUUUUAAAUUAAGAUUUGUUUUCGUUUUUCAUUUAGCGUGAAGCAACGUUAGGUCUUGUCGCCUCAGAGCCUGCCCACGCCUCCCGCCCACCCUCAGCAAUGCGCUGCCACAUAAAGCGGGCCACACACACGGACACGGGCACAGACACACGGACUCAAACGGACACAUAGAGCGAAAGAUCCUUUUGCUGGUGCGGCAAGGAGUUAAUUUGAAUUUUAUAGCAGUCAAGUUUGUGUAAUUUCAGCACCCAGCACCGCUCUUCUCCAUGGAGAGGCGUUGUGCAACACAUGUUGCCAUUGCAGCAGGAGGCGUGGCUUGAUGUGGGUGGGUGUGAGCUUUAUGUGCAUAUGUGUUUUUUUUUUUCCUUCCCCUUUUCAACAGUUUUCUUUUGCCCGCAGACAAGGAUGAAGCACUGACUGACUGCUGCAUGAACAGCACAUUAUACAUCCCCGAAAGAGCGAAAGAACAGAGGGGACAGACAGAGAAAGAGAGAGAGAGGGAAAAAUUUUUCAAUUUCUUGAACUGCAUUCGGGCAGAGUCAAGGGUGGUGCAGACUCGGGGCUAGGGAUGGCCUCCCCAAUGGCUACAAAUUAAUCUGGCCCAGAGACUACUCAACUUUCGUAUCCGUCUCGGCCGGGUGCGAAGUGAGAAGGAUGAAAAUGAUACGUCGGAGGAUGUCGAUUAUCCUUUUCCUCCUCCUCCUUCAUUCAGUUUAUUUCCUUAGCCAGAGAUUCGGCAAAAAAGUUGGUUAUACUCUCCUUUGAGUGCGACUACGAGUACCCAGAAGGAGAGAGAAAGAGAGAGAGUACUCUUAGCUGCAGAAAAGUUCUAAUUUCGUAAGAAAUUACACAUGUAAAGCAUAUGUACGAGUAAGAGUGAGAGAAAGGGCGGAGACAUUACAAUUUAUUAGCUGCAAAUGUUCUACAUCUUGCUAUCGCCCCUCCCCUUCCCACUCCCUGGGCUCUCAAUUACAAGCCAAGUUUAUCGCUGGCUGCCAAUAAGCCACAAGUUUAUGGGAUGUGCAGUUUCUGGCAAUUAAGUUAAGCUCCCAAGGAAUCUGAAAUCUGCUCAAUGGCCAAAAAAUGCCUAAAAAGAACUCUUUGGCAUUUGCCAAAAUCCAGCCAGACACAAGUGUACGUGUAUCCGUGUGUUGGCGUGAAAAUUGAAUAUUCUGCAUGCGAGGGAGUGACGUGCAGCAGCAGCAUCAGCUUGGGCCAUGGAUUACUUAUUAAAUUAUGUUUGGGGCUGCAAAGCAAACUUCUUUUUGCAAUAUUGCUGCUUUUCACUGCUUUUCCCCGCUGCCCCUGCUAGAACCCUUGCUGCUUCAACUGCUGGCAACUGGCGUUGCAUGCUUUUUGGGCUGUCGUAGCAAUUAUUUCAUUAUGUGUGAGGCCUCAGCCGACUAAAGCAAACUGAAGAUUCCCACUCGGACUCCUUCUCUGCCUUGCCUUUGCCUCUGCCUUGCCUCUUGGAAAUUAUGCACUCGAAAAGUUUCAGCGGUGCCUCCAACUUGGCGGCAGCAUUUUCAUUUACUUUUCUCCCCUACCCCCUACUCUGCCCUUCCCGCUUUGCUGCCACACAAAGAGGCGUUGACUGUGCUUCAUUGUUAUUAUCAUAAUUGCAUAAAGUUGCAUGGACUGUGAGGAAGGGGACUCAGGGCGGCACAGAAGGCAAGGCGCCGCUUGCUGGCGACACUUUUUCGGCGAAGACAAGACUAAGCGCUUUCUGGCCAUUCUCUUGCAGGCGGUGCGAUUCACUUGCCAUUCGGUUUUAAUCAUUGUACAUUUUCCACUCAUCCGCUUCUCCGCUCCUUCAAGCUCCAUUAAUUUGGAUUUGCAUGUACGUGUCUUUGAUGAGAGGCGAAGGACAUACCUCCCGCUCUCCUCACCUCCAGCUCCGACUCGGACUUUUCCCGCACGCAUCAUUAAACGAGUAGCCCCGAACGAGGCCAUUCACAAAUUAAAGUGCCAUAGAACUUCCCGACCACGACCACGCCCUGGGUGAGCAAAGACAAACAAACAGCCAAGAGAAAAGGCCAAGAAUUGUGUGUUCCGUCCCUGACCCCUGCCUCCUGCCCCUUGCCUUUGAUGUCGGAUGUGAGUGAUUAUAAAUAAAGAAGAUUUUGAAGCUCCCACCUGGUAAGCAGGCGGAACGAACUGCUCCGCUCCAUGGAGUUUCCCCCGCAUCAAAUGGCAGAAGGCGGAAACUGAAAUGUCCAUGAGGAAUCCUGGAUUUAUAGACAGGCAAAACGUGAGCGUGGGCCAGGGCGUGGACAGGAGCUGCGAGCAACUGCACUCAAGCGUUCGAGCCCAUCUUCCUGCCUACGGCUCGAGGCGUCUGACUGUCAUACUUACACGGUUGGCUGCAUGCAACACGCCAUGAAUUUCGUGACGCAAUCAGACACCAACCCCACACCCCUCGCUUUUGCCCAGCCGCUGGCGGAAGUGCGUGGCAUGACGCAGCUCAAAACUUGGCUCCAGGAACGAGAGCCAGAAAUUAUGCCACUUCGGAUUUGCACAUGCCCCCGCAAGCUGGACAAGGCGGGACAGGACAGGAUCCGAGCCGAGUCGGGUCGUGCCACCCCUCUUUGCCUAUCAAUCAGUAUAGGAGGCUGAGCGCUAGGCUAGCGCUAGGCGGCACCACAUGUGGGGCAUUUAAAUCCAUCAUACGAGUAUAUGUAUCAAUCACGGCUGAAAGGGAUAGGGGAGGACUAGGAAUAGGGAUAGGGCGUGGCCAUGUGAUAGACACACGGGUAUUAAAACUACUGACAGUCGCAAUUUAUAAUCAAUUGUGGCACACAAUUAAAUCAAUUGCUGCUCUCAAAAGGGAUGAAAACUCUGUGGCAAUGUGUAAGCGGAGGUGGAAGGGAAGGGCGAGUGGGGUGGGGGUGGUGUGACUCAUUGAUGAAUUUCCAAAACAAUUAGAAUUUCCGAUGAGAAAAGGUGAAAAACGGGGGAGAUGGAAAUGGAAAUGGGAAGAUGAACGGUGGGCCAGUGGCAGUGUCAAGGCAGAAAAUGUAUUCAUUUCCACUUGCAGCUUCGAAAUUUAUUGCAUAAUUAAUGAGCUUAAGUUCAGGCAGAAACUGAAAUGGAAUGCAAUUUCGGGCAUGACUCUCGGAAUGUGUCUCUCUGUGACUGUCGUUCUGUCUGUGUGUAUCCUUCCCUCUUUGAUUCUCCCUCCCUCUGUGGGUCUGUGCGUGUGCGUGUGCGGGUGCUCUGGCGAUUUCCUGUUUUGUGGCUAGCAAUUGAUUUGUUUGCAAUUUAGAUGCGAACUCGAUUCGAAACUGACUGCCUGCCUGCCUGCUGGGAAAUUAGUUAAAUUGGUUUUGUUACAGAUGCGGGUCACAGGACGAGGAGUAGGAGUAGGACGGGGAUGUUGACUCAAACUUAAUGCACAAGUCAAUGGGCGAGCGAGCUUUGAGUUAACAUUGCGUAUACGCCGCGUUGCGCUCAUAAAUAACAAAAUCGCAUUAAUUUAAAACUCAUUUCGUGAAUAAACACAGACCGAAUGGGGACGGUGGUGGCUCGGUUGAGGCCACUGGGUGGCCAUGCGUGCCUGGGCGCAUGGGUGCAUGGGUGGACAUGGGUGGUGCAACGGCAAACUGCAUUUUAAAUUAAAAUUAAAAGUCACUUGCUCCCAUUAUCGCCAGCAGCAGUGUGGACAGACACGAAGCAGCGAGGACAACGAGGACAAAACCCCAGAUCGGGGGCUGUCUCUCAACCAUGUCCUGUACGAGGCGAUAAAUAAUAUAUAUUGUGCACGCAUACAAUUAUGUUCCCUUUUGGCAGUCGCUGGAGCGGCUCCUGCUGCCAAAGGACUCGUGCGACUCUGGACAGGUGCAAAUAUCUAAAAACAAUGCCAUGAUUUAUGCAUGCAUGCCGGGCGCGUAUUAAGCCAUCAUUUCUUUGAAUAUUGCUCAAUGAAACAUGACUAAUCGAAUAUCAGCCAGCGAUUUUCAGCGAUUAAAUCGUAUGCGACAGACGCUGCGUGUGCGUGAUAUUCGCUCGACUAACACUCAUCCCGUGGCAACUUAAUUGGAUUUCCAUUGCCAUUUGAUCACUGAAGGGGUUGGCUUCCUCUUGGACGGGAACGGGAGAAGGGGUUGCGUGGGUGCUGUGAUUGAUAUUUAAUUAAAAUAUUUAUUCAUUUGUAACUAAGUUGAUUGACUUUUCAAUAGGCGACCGCAACAAAAGCCGAAGGUACUCAUGACCAGUGCUUAUUGUGGAGUAAUAAUCUGAAGAAACUGAAUAUUCAACC